CUCAGCUCUAGCCCCCGCAGGGGCGACUAAAACGAGCUUCAACUCCCGCCGGAGUUCGGGCCCUGGCCACCUCCCACCCUCUCAUGCAAGAGUCUCCACCGCCCAAAUCUUCCCGACUCUUGCUUGAGCAAACUAACCCCAGCUCCCACCCCCGCAGGGGUGUAUAUAUUUGAGCCUUGACUCCCGCGGAGUCAAUCCAGCCCUGCCCUCACCCCGCCUAGGCUUGAGCAGCCUACUUUGCUCUGCUCCCUUAGAAGCUUCUCUUCCUAAGCUAUCAACGCUAUAUCCAGCAGCCGGAUAUGGCUUGUUACACCUGCCUUUUUGGGGGGCUCUUCAAUACGCGGCUGCUGUCCCGAGCUAUUCAAAGGCAUUUUUGGGGAGUUCUCGAGAUCUACCUGAGCUCAAACUCCCCUCCCGCUUUGCAACGGGAGGGAGUCCUGGGCUCGAGGAUCUCAUGAGCUCAGGGCUCUCUCCCGGGACAGCAUGCCAAACAAGCUUAUAAUUAAUCAUCAGCUAAGUGUGAACUCUUGAAGUGAAGUUUAUGUAUAAACAAAUUUCGAGAGGAUCACGUGCUUAUGAUUGCUAGCAGCUGACCCGCAUUAUCCAAUUCACUACUAUCCAAUCAGAUGACUCCUAAACUACUAUAAAUACCCUGGGGUUUAUUCCAUUGCUAUCUUCGUUUUGAAGAGUCCCCCCUUCCUCCCCUACGCCUCCUUCUUAGACGGGUGACACGGUGGCCCAGUGCCUAGCACUGUCGCCUCACAGCAAGAAUGUCUCUGGUUCCUGGCUCUACCAAAACUAGCAGACAUUUCUGUGCGGAGUUUUGCACUUCUCCCCGUGC
ensembl:processed_transcript